UAUAGCGAAACCAUAUCAAGCUGC
rnacentral:siRNA from 1 species